GUGGGAUUCUUAUUGCUUAGUGUUUAAUUUUCUAUUUUGUGUUUUAUGUGUUUUUGUCUGUCUGUCUGUCUUUUUUUCUUUUUCAGUCAGGGCAUUGUCAGUUUAUAUUUGAUCAUAAUGUGAAUGUUCAUCUGGUAUCUUUCGCCCAAAAAAUACGAAUACAAAUCAAAUACUAAGUGUGUUUAUUAGCAUAUACAGGAUAAGUUCUAGACUCGUUAUAUCUCAUUAAAGUAUCCCAAUAUCCACGACAAUUAAAUUCGAAGCGUAUGGAUGCUUUGAACUUUCAAUCUUAACUAAAUAUUAUAAUAUUUAGAGGCUUUAUACCUGACGAGGAAGACAUUUAUGCUAUAAUGACGACUUUGACAAAAUAGAAAACGAAUAAAAAUCAC
rnacentral:lncRNA from 1 species